rnacentral:rRNA from 1 species
UACGUAGGUCCCGAGCGUUGUCCGGAUUUAUUGGGCGUAAAGCGAGCGCAGGCGGUUUGAUAAGUCUGAAGUUAAAGGCUGUGGCUCAACUAUAGUUCGCUUUGGAAACUGUCAAACUUGAGUGCAGAAGGGGAGAGUGGAAUUCCAUGUGUAGCGGUGAAAUGCGUAGAUAUAUGGAGGAACACCGGUGGCGAAAGCGGCUCUCUGGUCUGUAACUGACGCUGAGGCUCGAAAGCGUGGGGAGCGAACAGG